AACUCACAGAUGCACCAUCAAUCCAGCUGGAGAUUCAAGACCAUAUACAAAAUCGUUUUAUAUCACCAGGACAGAGAAAAGUAGUCGUGAAGUGGGAGUAUGCAAACAGUGAGGCUGUGGCUUACUACAAUGUGACAGUGAGGAAAGUAUCCGGGGAACUUAGCAAUCAGGACAGUUUCAGAACUGAAGAUUCAUCUCUCACCAUGAUCCUGUCUUACUCUGCAUACAACAUCAGUAUCAGAGCUUUAAACACUGCUGGAUCAUCUCCUGUUUCCAGUAUAGCCACUGAGCAAAUGGAUGAAUGGAGGGAUUCAUUUGGGCCAUUCAGUGUCAACAUAACCAGCCACAACCAUUUUAGUCUGUCCUGGAAUAUGUCCGCCUCAAGUGUUUGUUACUCUGUGGAGUGGUGGGCCAAAGGACAGAUACCAACUUUUUGUCCAUUCUACGAAAAGCAGACACGCAAAGAAAUAACUGGGAAAACUGAAAGCUGUAGGAGCAAAGGACGUGACAUGUGGCCAAUUUUUCAGCCAUAUACAAGAUAUUAUUUCGUCCUGCACACCAGACCGUACCCAGACACCUGCCACAUGAAGAAUUUAAACAACAGUGAGACGACCUAUGGCACAGCCCAAGCUUACUUCACUGAAGGAAGUCCUAUCAGUGCUCCUGGGAAUGUGAGCAUUUUUAAUAUUACCCGGCAUUCCUCAGUAAUCACAUGGUGCCCCGUGUCUGAGGAAGACCUGCGUGGAUUCUUAUUAGGCUACUACAUCUACUUGAUGUGGGACAAUAAUGAAACAUCCUUCAAAGUGGAUCCCAGCGUAAACAGUUAUGAGCUGCAGAAUCUUGAAAGCAACAGUGCGUACCGCGUGCAGCUGUCUGCAUUUACAGCGGCUGGAGAAGGAGAGCGAAGUGAUUUCAAACACUUUGUCACAAACCUACUAGGUAAACUCGUAUUUUACAUGAGAUGAUAAUGUCUGUUAUCGAGCUGGUAUUCUAGGUUUUUCUGUUCACGAUGCACAGUAAAUGUCUGGAGGUUUGUUUUUUAAUUACAUGGAUUGAAAUAGUCACAUACGUACUGACUAUAUGGUUCAUUUUGACAGAAUUCACAGCUUUGAACAGCAUUAUAGCCGCGGUUGUUGUGGGAAUAAUAAUUCUUUUACUAGCAGUUCACCUCAGCUGUCGACUUCUGCACAGGUAGAGAUAUGCAUUUUAUGUUCUGAAUAAUUGCCACUAUAUAAUCAAUCACUAUCACCGCAUGUGUUAUCUAAUAUAGAGCUCACUGUGCAUUUAUACAGACCAAAUCCUGAGAAUAGCAACGCUGUUCAGAAAACUGAAAUUGUCUAUGAUCUGGUAAGCAAGAGACAAUAUAAUGAUGGAACCAUACAUUUCAUUGCCAAGGAAAAGAAUAUACAAAAACAUUAUAUGAAAAAAUUAACACCAGUGAGACAGUACCAGAAGUACAACGAUGACCUGAGAUAAUACAAUGGUAAUACAAUGGUUUAUAUGGUAUGCCAUGGUACUUCACAGAAUAUCAUUUUGAUGUGAUUAUGAUCAUCAAAAAAGCUAAUUUGUUUUCAUGUAUUUUAAUCUUAUUUUAAUUUUUUUUUUUUUUUUUUUUUUUAAAAAUUUCUUUUUUUAAUUUAAUUGAUUUUUUGUUUUUUUUUUUUUUUUUUUUAAACAAGAAUGUAUGGAUUUUUACCCCAAAAAAAAUAUCAAAAUGACUUAAUACAACCAUUAAAAACAUGCACAUCAUAGAAGAAGUGUAUCCAAAUAAGUAUAUGUACGCUACCAUUCAAAUGUUUGUGUCAAAAGUAUCUUUAAAGCUGCAUUCAUUAGAUGAGAUAUUAAUACAAUAUAAAAUAACAUCCCAUGGAAAUUUUUUGUAAGAGUACUUUUUUUUUUUUACUACAUUCCAGUUCAGAUGUUUGAACAUAUUUAUGAGUGAAAUCACUUUUUGAAUCCUUUGGCCACUUUCUGCACUGUGUUUCUUCUGCAGGGUAUCCUGGAGCCACUGAACAGACAGAGGUUAGAGGAAAGUGAGGGAUGUGAUUACACUGCAGUCCAGUACAGUGUUUGUCGUUGGGAGCAAGAGGGAGGCAUCUCCUCUCUGUAGCCCUCCCACUGCUCAGGCUGGUGUGCCCACCACCCUUCUCCUCAGUGAAGAUGAGGACAGCCCAUCCAUCCCGGAGCAGAUCCCACCACCUGACAUCCCAACACAAGUCCUUCAAGGGGCGUUUCUAGGAUUUUCAUUUUAGGGGGGCUCAGCCCCUAACAAGGGUAUGAUUAAAAAAAUAUAUUAUUUGAGGUAGGGUAGGGUAGGGUUGUAUACUACUAACCUUAUUGUAAUCCACUAUUCCAUUGUAUUCCCUGUAUUUCAUAUAUGGGAGUAGGAGUACUGACUGAGCCAUAUACAACACUGUAAAAAAUUUUUGAAAAAUUUAGAUGUGACCAGUCAUUAGAAAAUUUUGAGUUGGGAAUGUAGAUUUUUUUUACAAUGAAGACUUCCUGAUUCAUUAUUAGGACAUUCAUGUUUAUCCUUUGACGAUACCACUGUUUUUUCUUAUGAAAUGUACGUGGAAAUUGGCAGACAAUUAAAACAACAUAAGGGUUCAAUGACUGCAAUUAAUCUUGUGAACACAGUGGUAUUGUGUGUGAGAGGCUGUCUACGUUCUAUUCUCACCUGACUUGCUCAUUUGCAGACCUACUCCCGCACUACAAGAAAAAAUGUUGUAUAUCCAUCUACAAUGAAAUAUAUAUAUAUUAGCCUUUAUAAUCAACAAUACGGUUGGUUAUACAUCAAGUCACCCCCUGAAAAUUUAUUUCAUUUCAAAUCAUUUAACUAACCAGCUAAUAUUCAUUAAGAAUACAGACAAAACAUGUAUUAAUGCAAUUGUCUAUUUGCAAUAUGUUUAAUCUAUUCUAUAUUUAUUUCUAUUUAUUAAAAAUAAUAACAUGAAUUAUCAAUUUGCCACUUCUAUAAAUCAAUUACUUAAAAAAAAAUCACAAAUCCCUUUAAUCUACUCUUACUCUAAUAUAUGUAUCAUGAUACACUAUGAUUCAUUAUUACUUAAUACAAAAAUAUAUUUAAAAAUACAAAACAAAAUAACUCCACAUGAUGUUUCUCUCUCUGUGCCAUUUAGUGCUCUCAGACGUGUGUCUUUAAUCAUUUCUGUGCAUGGCUGCAUAAUGUAAUGCCGAAAUACACAAUAAUAUGUUUUGAAUUUUAAAAAGUAAAUUAAAAUAAAUCACUAUUGUUUUCUAAAGUAUGUUUUCA
ensembl:lncRNA